rnacentral:misc_RNA from 1 species
GUAGGUGAACCUGCGGAAGGAUCAUUAACACGAAACUCCACGUUUCAUACCAACCUGUGGUCUUGUAACUUACUGUUUUUUUGGAACACGAGGAAAAGGGUGGGCAACUGCUCCUUUUUUUUGUCUCCAAAGAAAUUUUUAUUAUCAAAACCCCUUGUAUCAUCAAUUGACUGAACCAAUGGGAGCUUUGAGUACCCUUCUUACGAGGGGCGCUCGCUUCUUGAUAUUACGAAACUCUGAACAACUCUAAGCAACGGAUAUCUUGGUUCUC